rnacentral:rRNA from 1 species
GUCCAGACUCCUACGGGAGGCAGCAGUAGGGAAUCUUCCGCAAUGGGCGAAAGCCUGACGGAGCAACGCCGCGUGAGUGAUGAAGGUCUUCGGAUCGUAAAACUCUGUUAUUAGGGAAGAACAUAUGUGUAAGUAACUGUGCACAUCUUGACGGUACCUAAUCAGAAAGCCACGGCUAACUACGUGCCAGCAGCCGCGGUAAUACGUAGGUGGCAAGCGUUAUCCGGA